AGACUAAAAGGAAGACACAAAAUGAGGUUCUCAAACCUCAGGCAAACAACACAACUAUUGACACUGGAAAUCAGCAAUACAAUUUCCCAGGGGGAUACUAUACGAAGGAGCAUUGUGAGCAAAGUUUAAAAAUGAUGAAUCCAACACCAACAGGUAGUUGCAAGGCCAAUGCUCUAGCAGGUAUGCAUAAUUUGACAGUUAAUGAUACUGAUAUAGAAUGGAUUAUAGAUUCUGGCGCUUCGCAUCAUAUUACCUGCAAUGAGAACGUAAUAAAUGAGACUAAGAGAGUAUUUGAGUCAAAUGUAAGUAAGGUACAAGUACCUACUGGACAGAAGAUCACACUUAAGCAUAUUGGAGAUGCAGUAUUUUUAGGAGAUUAUUGCUUAAAAAAUGUGUUGUAUGUACCAGAUUUUAAAUUCAAUCUGUUAUCAGUCUCAAAACUCACCAAGGAUCUCAACUGCACAGUGUCUUUUUCUCCUGACAUGUGUGUCCUGCAGGAUCUCUGCAAUGGGAAGGUGAUUGGGAUUGGUAAGGAGGUUGAUGGACUUUAUUUCCUAAGACAUCAUGUGACACCACUCAUAGGAGCAGUUUCAAAUGACACAGAAGAUCAGAAGCUAUGGCAUCUAAGGCUAGGACAUCCUUCAGUAGGAGUCAUGAAACACUUGUUUCCUUUAAAGAAUAAAGUGACUACUGCUGU
rnacentral:lncRNA from 1 species